AUCAAACGGGCAACUCAUUUAUGAUCCAGCGUGCCAUCCAGCGCUGCAUCUCCUCGUACAUGUCCGCGGCCUUUCCAUCUGCUCCCGGUCUCGGAGUUAACCAUUGUCCGCAGGCCACCCCGCUUUCUGGUCAUGAUGGGACCUUCUCGUCGGGCUCGGGCACAUGCCCCCCCUCAUCCAGGCGCCGCGCCCCAUCCGCACGGAACGGCCACCGUCCAUGCGCAAAUGUAAACCUAAUUAACCCACCUGCCGGCCUCUACACACGUGUUGCACCGCACACAACCACGACGUUCAGGCAAUCCAAGGAACACAACACGAGUGUUUUGGCCC
rnacentral:lncRNA from 1 species